UGCAAGUCGACGGUAGAGGGGGCAACCCCUUGAGAGUGGCGAACGGGUGAGUAAUGUAUCGGAACGUGCCCAGUCGUGGGGGAUAACGUAGUGAAAAUUACGCUAAUACCGCAUACGAUCUAUGGAUGAAAGCGGGGGAUCGCAAGACCUCGCGCGAUUGGAGCGGCCGAUAUCAGAUUAGGUAGUUGGUAGGGUAAAGGCCUACCAAGCCAACGAUCUGUAGCUGGUCUGAGAGGACGACCAGCCACACUGGAACUGAGACACGGUCCAGACUCCUACGGGAGGCAGCAGUGGGGAAUUUUGGACAAUGGGCGAAAGCCUGAUCCAGCCAUUCCGCGUGCAGGAUGAAGGCCCUCGGGUUGUAAACUGCUUUUGUACAGAACGAAAAGGUUUCUAUUAAUACUAGGAGCUCAUGACGGUACUGUAAGAAUAAGCACCGGCUAACUACGUGCCAGCAGCCGCGGUAAUACGUAGGGUGCAAGCGUUAAUCGGAAUUACUGGGCGUAAAGCGUGCGCAGGCGGUUAUAUAAGUCAGAUGUGAAAUCCCCGGGCUCAACCUGGGAACUGCAUUUGAGACUGUAUAGCUAGAGUACGGUAGAGGGGGAUGGAAUUCCGCGUGUAGCAGUGAAAUGCGUAGAUAUGCGGAGGAACACCGAUGGCGAAGGCAAUCCCCUGGAUCUGUACUGACGCUCAUGCACGA
rnacentral:rRNA from 1 species